rnacentral:lncRNA from 1 species
GCAUAUAAUGAAAAAGUACAUUCUGCAUUACUCACUUUUAAGCUUGACAUUAUAUAGUUUGAGGUGAGAUACAUGCCAAGUAACAGAGGUACGGUUAUUAUAAAGACGGAGCAUAGAAGACUAGAAUUACUAUCCUCAUGCUAUGCUGCAAAGGCAUAAUACAGAAACUAACUAUUAUUCAAGGAUUUAGAGACAUUGUUGGAGUAGUUAUGAACUUGGUAGUUUAUCUAAUCAGCAUAAUGCUAAUGACUCUCUGGACUUAAGAAGCAUGACUAGAGUCAUGUGCUUUUGAAGGUUCUGACUCCUCUGCUACCUUUUCCUUCCUUGCUGCACAUUGCUCUCCCUACUUCUUCUACCAUUCUGACCAAGUCGGUCAUUAUUUUGGCUUUGAUUUGACCUCUUCUUGGAGGCAAUCUAACCAUCUUAGCAGCUGGAGAAUCAACAUUAGCAUUGAUUUUUGGCAUUGCUUCAAAUGAAUGAUGAGUUGUGAGGAUACGUUGCAGAACAGAAGCAGCAGAUAGUUUGUGCCAGAGACAAAUGGAGAAAGAAACACCAAGAUUCUG